rnacentral:rRNA from 1 species
ACGGCUCAGUAACACGUAGUCAACAUGCCCAGGGGACGUGGAUAACCUCGGGAAACUGAGGAUAAACCGCGAUAAGUCAUUACUUCUGGAAUGGGUAAUGACUAAAAUCUACAUGGCCCCUGGAUUGGACUGCGGCCGAUCAGGCUGUUGGCGAGGUAAUGGCCCACCAAACCUGUAACCGGUACGGGCUCUGAGAGGAGGAGCCCGGAGAUGGGCACUGAGACAAGGGCCCAGGCCCUAUGGGGCGCAGCAGGCGCGAAACCUCUGCAAUAGGCGAAAGCCUGACAGGGUUACUCUGAGUGAUUUCCGUUAAGGAGAUCUUUUGGCACCUCUAAAAAUGGUGCAGAAUAAGGGGUGGGCAAGUCUGGUGUCAGCCGCCGCGGUAAUACCAGCACCCCGAGUGGUCGGGACGUUUAUUGGGCCUAAAGCAUCCGUAGCCGGUUCUACAAGUCUUCCGUUGAAUCCACCUGCUUAACAGAUGGGCUGCGGAAGAUACUAUAGAGCUAGGAGGCGGGAGAGGCAAGCGGUACUCGAUGGGUAGGGGUAAAAUCCGUUGAUCCAUUGAAGACCACCAGUGGCGAAGGCGGCUUGCCAGAACGCGCUCGACGGUGAGGGAUGAAAGCUGGGGGAGCAAACCGGAUUAGAUACCCGGGUAGUCCCAGCUGUAAACGAUGCAGACUCGGUGAUGAGUUGGCUUCUUGCCAACUCAGUGCCGCAGGGAAGCCGUUAAGUUUGCCGCCUGGGGAGUACGGUCGCAAGACUGAAACUUAAAGGAAUUGGCGGGGGAGCAC